rnacentral:tRNA from 1 species
UAUAUAUUUUAGUGUAGGGGCACAAUAAUUUUUGAUGUUAUUAGAUAUAGUUAAAUUCUAUAAAAUAUAA